CAGAAAAAUAUCCAUGUUACAACUCAAAAUAUCAACUGAAAACAACAGGUUUUAAUCUACAAGUGAAUUUGUAAAGAGUUACCAAGAAUAUACCGAAGUUACAACUCAAAAUAUCAACUGGUUUUAAUCUACAAGUAAACUUGUAAGAAGUUACCAAAAAUAUACCCAUGUUACAACUCAAAAUAUCAACUGAAAACAACUGGUUUUAGUCUACAAGUAAACUUGUAAGAAGUUACCAAGAAUAUACCCAUGAUACAACUCAAAAAAUCAACUGAAAACAACAGGUUUUAAUCUACAAGUAAACUUGUAAGAAGUUAACAAAAAUAUACUCAAGUUUCAACUCAAAAUAUCAACUGAAAACAACUGGUUUUAGUCUACAAGUGAACUUCUAAGAAGUUACCAAAAAUAUACUCAAGUUUCAACUCAAAA